rnacentral:rRNA from 1 species
UGGGGAAUAUUGCACAAUGGGGGAAACCCUGAUGCAGCGACGCCGCGUGAAGGAAGAAGUAUUUCGGUAUGUAAACUUCUAUCAGCAGGGAAGAAGAUGACGGUACCUGAGUAAGAAGCACCGGCUAAAUACGUGCCAGCAGCCGCGGUAAUACGUAUGGUGCAAGCGUUAUCCGGAUUUACUGGGUGUAAAGGGAGCGUAGACGGAUAGGCAAGUCUGGAGUGAAAACCCAGGGCUCAACUCUGGGACUGCUUUGGAAACUGCAGAUCUGGAGUACCGGAGAGGUAAGCGGAAUUCCUAGUGUAGCGGUGAAUUGCGUAGUUAUUAGGAGGAACACCAGUGGCGAAGGCGGCUUAUUGGACGGUGACUGACGUUGAGGCUCGAAAGCGUGGGGAGCAAACAGG